UACGUAGGGUGCAGGCGUUAAUCGGAAUUACUGGGCGUAAAGCGUGCGCAGGCGGUUUGCUAAGAGAGAUGUGAAAUCCCCGGGCUUAACCUGGGAACUGCGUUUCUAACUGGCAGGCUUGAGUGUGGCAGAGGGGGGUGGAAUUCCACGUGUAGCAGUGAAAUGCGUAGAGAUGUGGAGGAACACCGAUGGCGAAGGCAGCCCCCUGGGCUAACACUGACGCUCAUGCACGAAAGCGUGGGGAGCAAACCGG
rnacentral:rRNA from 1 species